rnacentral:lncRNA from 1 species
GAGAGAGAGAGAGAGAGAGAGAGAGUGAGUGAGAGAUGCAGAGAGAGAGAGAGAGGAUGAGUGAGAGAUGCAGAGAGAGAGAGAGAGAGUGAGUGAGAGAUGCAGAGAGAGAGAGAGAGUGAGUGAGAGAUGCAGAGAGAGAGAGAGAGUGAGUGAGAGAUGCAGAGAGAGAGAGAGAGUGAGUGAGAGAUGCAGAGAGAGAGAGAGUGAGUGAGAGAUGCAGAGAGAGAGAGAGAGUGAGUGAGAGAUGCAGAGAGAGAGAGAGUGAGUGAGAGAUGCAGAGAGAGAGAGAGUGAGUGAGAGAUGCAGAGAGAGAGAGUGAGUGAGAGA